UAAGUAUUCCCUCCGUCUGAAAAUACUUAUCGUAGAAAUGGAUGUAUCUAGAUGUAUUUUAGUUAUAGAUACAUUCAUUUUUAUUCAUUCAUGCGACAAGUAAUUUCGGACGAAGGGGGUAUAAG
rnacentral:pre_miRNA from 1 species